GUGGACUGCUCAGCUCUAAUCCUCUGUUUCGCUGACGCUGGAUUUAACCUCGUUAGCACCUAAUCUGCAUCAGGGCCACAUUUACAGCGUUAACGAGGAGCCACAGCAAUAUGCUCCCAGCAGCAACACAGAGCCAAAGAAAAAGGAGCAGCUUCAAAUCACCCGCCACAAACUAAAUGAAAACAUUUCUGACUGAGGCAGCGUCCAGACAGUGUAAACUAGCAGCCAUGAUGAUGAUGAUGAUAAUGAUGAAGGUGUAUAUUUCUAGGGCCAAAGGCCAUAACGUCUCCUGGGUUGUUUGCACCAUUCAAACAUCAACAAAUGAGAAUCUCCACGCUCUGUUUGUUUGGACCAGCGUUAAUGAAGCUGUCGCCAACUGGAUUUGAGCUUCAAUCCAAUUCCUGAACUGGUCCUGAUCCUCUGAUGGAGCUGUGAAGCAUCUGCACCGAGCCUUGUUGUAUUUCACACUCGCUGCUUGUUGCAUCAAAGACAUGUCCCUCAGGAUCUGACCCACACCUGCAGAAUGCUGCUGAAUCUCAGUGGAACCAAACACAGACGAAACUGGUCCGGGGAGUAAGAGGCUUUCUCUAAAUGCGUUUCUGUAAAUCCCCGGACUUUGUUGUGGUGUAAUCUCCUUUUCACUGUGAGUUCUUCACCUGGUUCAGCCCGGGGACCACGGCUCGUGGGUUCAGCCCUUAUAUUUCUGGUGUCUGGAGUCUAAUCCGAGCCCCCGACCCGUCCUGCUUGGCUCUGCUCUGUCCUUCACUUCCUCGAUAAUCCUGUUAGCAGAGUUUCUCUAUAAUCCUCCGUCAGCACUCAGAACCCUGCAGGUCUUCACAGCCGGUUCUCCACAGCUCUGUGGGAUGCUGCCGGGCCCCAACUGAACAACUCAGGAUGUUGAGCUGGGUCGGCAAAGUGGUUCCUCGGCCGCCUGAGUCUCCUCCCAGAGUAGCCGAGGACCAGAGGGAGCAGAAGGCCGCUGCCCCCGCUCACGAGAAGAAGGUGACGUUUCAGGACCAGUGCAGACCCCAAGGUUCCAAAGCUGAGCAGGACACCCAGGCACCAGCGGAAAACAG